UUACUCGACUCCCGCUGAUAAUGCUAUCCUCCACCCUCCACCCCACUCCGCCCCUAACAACCAAGCCACUUCCCAUACCCCACAUCACAAGGAAAUCCCUUCCCCCCAAAUAGAGACAACCAAUCUCUUCCACCCCAGGCAACCUACACUUAAAAAGCACGGUGCCCCAUAUUCAAAUGCUUGCAUAGAAACUCGCUGCUAAAAACUAGCUUUUGCCCAAAAGCUUAAAUGCUCUUGGCAAAUACUGACGGGAGUCAAUUUUAGGAUUCAAAUACCACCACGCUUCCUAGCCUGACGUCUAUCACCUCCAAUUAUAUGGACACUAUCUAAUAGUAGCGUUUUCCCUUUCUAGCACCUGCAUUCGCUUAUCAAUCUUCAAAAACUAAGAAUUUUGCACGUAUGCAAUAACAAAAUAUUUUAAUCUAGUCUUUAGGUCACUCCAUUUGCCUUGAACUCAUGGAACAAUGCUUGCUCUAAUACCAAAUGAUACAACCUCUUUGGUAGUGUUGAUGUAUAUCUUUGUAUAUACCCUAGGGGUAGAAUAGUCUUUUUGUCCUUAAUAUUUGUAUAUAUAUUCUUUUAUUCUCUCCCUUUGUAACCUAACUUCUUCAAUAAUACAAAACCUCUUUUUCUCUCUCUCUACUCUAUAUAUAUAUAUAUAUAUAUAUAUAUAUUUAUCUUCAUUACACUAACAUGGUAUCAGAGCCAUGAUUUUUUACAUCUGUUUUUUGAUUUUCAUCUUUCUACCUCUGAUUCUUUAGAUUUUCAUCACCUACUCUAUUUUUUGCCGACGAGAAAUUUACUUGGAUCUGGAAUUUGAACACACCAUUGUGUUCCUCAUGAAAUUUUGAGCUCAGAGAAGUCCAGAACACCGCCGAAAGCCUCCAAUCGCUCCCUCAUGCACCACCUGAGUCACUGCGCGUUAGAUCUACUCAUAUAGAUCCUCUCACGCGCCUACACGUGCGCAAAUCGCGUCCCUGCCACACGAACAUCUGCCGCACGCACCCCUGUACAUCAGAUCUACUCUCAGCGCGUCAACCACACGCGCUUUGUCUAUGACCUCAUCAACGCAUCAGCUAGCUGUCAGUGCGCGUCCGUGACCUCAUCAGCGUGUCAGCCAAUUGCGUCAACCAGUGCGUUAGCGCGCGUCAGUCACGCGUCAGCCAUCCAGGUUCAUGUUUUUGAGUAUUUUAGGCCUUCUAAUUCUGUUUCUGCACUCAGUUUUUGCUAUUUCUACCUUGUUACUACUGUAGUUGCUAUUUUUGCACUAUUUUCUACUAUUUUCCCUACGAUUUAGACUGUUUCUACUUCUAGCUAUUUACUAUGGAUCGAUCUGAGGAUUCUAGACCUAUUGUUAUCACUCUGUAUGGUCCCAAUUAUAUACUAUGGUCUUAGGCGAUGUCCAGUUUUCUCAAGGGAUGAAAACUUUGGCAUUAUGUUACUGGAGAUAUUAAGGUACCAGUUUAGGGUACUACUGAGACACCUAUUGAGUACAUUAUAAGUCUUGAAGAAUGGGAUAGUAAGAAUCAUCAGAUUAUUACGUGGAUCCAUAAUACUUCCAUUCCUUCUAUUAGCCUACAGUUUGGAAGAUUUGAUACUACUCAUGCCCUCUGGGAUUUUCUGGCCACCAAAUAUACUAUUGAUUUGAUCUAGCUUGUUAGUAUCAGCUUCUAACUUCCUUAUGCUGACAGUGACAGGAGCCUGGACAGUCUAUUAGUACCUACUUGCCUCAGAUAUAUUCUAUAUGGGACUAGUUGACUCCAUCCGAGCCUAAGUGGGUCAGUGAUGUUGAUGCUACUUUAUUUGCCACCUAUCGAAAUUAGUAGCACCUUAUUAUGUUUCUCAUGGGGUUUUCUGAUGUAUAUGAGCCGGUCCGGGCCUCUCUCCUUCAUCGCAUUCCUCUCCCUACAUUGGAUUAAGCUAUCUCUGAGUUUUUAUCUGAGGAGACUCGCCUUGGCCUACUUUUGACUUCCCAUGUGGACACCGCUCUUGCUGCUCCUGGUUCUAGAGGUUGUGGCCCCUAUGGUUGUUCUCGAGGUUUUUCAACCUCUGGUGCUCCAUUCUCUGGUUCAACCUCUCGACAUAAUGAGUACACCUUCUGUCAUGCCAUUGAUCAUCGCUUACUUACUUGUCCUGCUCGGGUUUGCAAGCAUUGUCGCCAGUGAGGUCCUGGCCAUUAUCAGUCUGACUGUCCCAAGAACUCUGCCUGUCGAGACACUCACCUCAGUCUACUACUGCUACUACUGGGGUUUCCUCUAUUGCUUAUGCCUCUCCUACUCUGAUCGAUGUUAGUGAUCUUCCUGCUCUUGUUCAGCAGAUUAUGUUAGUUUUCGGUAAGCUUCAAGUAUAUCCCCAUGGUACUUUGACUAUGGGUGUAGUAAUCAUAUGAUUACCUAUUUUCUCCUCUAAAUCCUUUGAGUCUUUAUUUUCUGUUAUCUAUACUGCUAAUGGAUCUUCUAUGACUAUUGAUCAUGUUGGGCAUGUCUUCACCUUUGCUCUA
rnacentral:lncRNA from 1 species